CUGUGACUCCUACGGGAGGCAGCAGUGGGGAAUAUUGCACAAUGGGGGAAACCCUGAUGCAGCCAUGCCGCGUGUGUGAAGAAGGCCUUCGGGUUGUAAAGCACUUUCAGUAGGGAGGAAGGUAGUGUAGUUAACACCUGCACUAUUUGACGUUACCUACAGAAGAAGCACCGGCUAACUCCGUGCCAGCAGCCGCGGUAAUACGGAGGGUGCGAGCGUUAAUCGGAAUUACUGGGCGUAAAGCGCAUGCAGGCGGCCUGUUAAGUCAGAUGUGAAAGCCCGGGGCUUAACCUCGGAAUUGCAUUUGAAACUGGCAGGCUAGAGUCUUGUAGAGGGGGUAGAAUUUCAGGUGUAGCGGUGAAAUGCGUAGAGAUCUGAAGGAAUACCAGUGGCGAAGGCGGCCCCCUGGACAAAGACUGACGCUCAGAUGCGAAAGCGUGGGGAGCAAACAGGAUUAGAUACCCUGGUAG
rnacentral:rRNA from 1 species